rnacentral:rRNA from 1 species
GACGAACGCUGCGGCGUGCUUAACACAUGCAAGUCGAACGGAAAGGCCCUGCUUUUGUGGGGUGCUCGAGUGGCGAACGGGUGAGUAACACGUGAGUAACCUGCCCUUGACUUUGGGAUAACUUCAGGAAACUGGGGCUAAUACCGGAUAGGAACUCCUGCUGCAUGGUGGGGGUUGGAAAGUUUCGGCGGUUGGGGAUGGACUCGCGGCUUAUCAGCUUGUUGGUGGGGUAGUGGCUUACCAAGGCUUUGACGGGUAGCCGGCCUGAGAGGGUGACCGGCCACAUUGGGACUGAGAUACGGCCCAGACUCCUACGGGAGGCAGCAGUGGGGAAUAUUGCACAAUGGGCGGAAGCCUGAUGCAGCAACGCCGCGUGCGGGAUGACGGCCUUCGGGUUGUAAACCGCUUUCGCCUGUGACGAAGCGUGAGUGACGGUAAUGGGUAAAGAAGCACCGGCUAACUACGUG